AUUGAACGCUGGCGGCAGGCCUAACACAUGCAAGUCGAACGAGUGGCGGACGGGUGAGUAAUGUCUGGGAAACUGCCCGAUGGCGGGGGAUAACUACUGGAAACGGUGGCUAAUACCGCAUACCAUCGGAUGUGCCGAGAUGGGAUUAGCUAGUAGGUGGGGUAACGGCUCACCUAGGCGACGAUCCCUAGCUGGUCUGAGAGGACGACCAGCCACACUGGAACGGAGACACGGUCCAGACUCCUACGGGAGGCAGCAGUGGGGAAUAUUGCACAAUGGGCGAAAGCCUGAUGCAGCCAUGCCGCGUGUAUGAAGAAGGCCUUCGGGUUGUAAAGUACUUUCAGCGGGGAGGCGUUACCCGCAGAAGAAGCACCGGCUAACUCCGUGCCAGCAGCCGCGGUAAUUC
rnacentral:rRNA from 1 species